GCUCAGAUGAACGCUGGCGGCAGGCCUAACACAUGCAAGUCGAACGGUAACAGGAAGCAGCUUGCUUUUCGCUGACGAGUGGCGGACGGGUGAGUAAUGUCUGGGAAACUGCCUGAUGGAGGGGGAUAACUACUGGAAACGGUAGCUAAUACCGCAUAACGUCGCAAGACCAAAGAGGGGGACCUUCGGGCCUCUUGCCAUCGGAUGUGCCCAGAUGGGAUUAGCUGUGGUGGGGUAACGGCUCACCAGGCGACGAUCCCUAGCUGGUCUGAGAGGAUGACCAGCCACACUGGAACUGAGACACGGUCCAGACUCCUACGGGAGGCAGCAGUGGGGAAUAUUGCACAAUGGGCGCAAGCCUGAUGCAGCCAUGCCGCGUGUAUGAAGAAGGCCUUCGGGUUGUAAAGUACUUUCAGCGGGGAGGAAGGGAGUAAAGUUAAUACCUUUGCUCAUUGACGUUACCCGCAGAAGAAGCACCGGCUAACUCCGUGCCAGCAGCCGCGGUAAUACGGAGGGUGCAAGCGUUAAUCGGAAUUACUGGGCGUAAAGCGCACGCAGGCGGUUUGUUAAGUCAGAUGUGAAAUCCCCGGGCUCAACCUGGGAACUGCAUCUGAUACUGGCAAGCUUGAGUCUCGUAGAGGGGGGUAGAAUUCCAGGUGUAGCGGUGAAAUGCGUAGAGAUCUGGAGGAAUACCCGGUGGCGAAGGCGGCCCCCUGGACGAAGA
rnacentral:rRNA from 1 species